CUUGUGAAAUGGAAUAAAUGUACUGUCUAAGUUGAUGGCAAUCAUUGUAAUAUACAGUAUGUGAACAUAUUCUCAGAACCUUGCCCCAGUGACAAGAGAAUAUCGUGGGCACAGCACCUCGAUGUUGUGAGAGUCUAUGACUGAGACUAGGCUAUUUAUGACCUUAAGAAAUAGGGUGUUUUGUUGUCCAAGUGUGACGACUCUAGAUCUCAAAGCCUCUGUGGGUAAACACGGGUAUGCAGGGGCAGAACGACGUAAUUACAGCUGCCACCACCGGUGAGUAAUAGCCAUGCUCAAAGGCAACAAGGCACUCUUUGUGCGUCACUUUAGAUCCGGCUCUAAUGUCACCACAAAACAAUUGCCCCCUAACGAGCGCUUCUUCAGCCAAAUGGCGAGCGUGACUGGUGAUCGGUGGCAGAUUUGUGCUUGUGCAGUGUGUGUAGAUUAUCAGAACAUGCUGGUGAUAUUGCUCUCGGCCUGAGGGAUGGUGCAGGUGCCGCUUUGUUUCCUCUCACAAUUGCACUCAGUUAUUACUUUGUUCUGCCCUGUUAUGACAGAGCCUAAGUGUGGAAAAAGCGUAUUCAUUGUCUAAUAAAAUCAACUAGCAUACAGAUUGAUGUAUUGAAUCUGAAGCGUUUCCUCUUGUUUGGUCUGUGUGUAUUUGCGCUGUCUGUUUCUCAGUGUUGAAAAAUGAGCUUUGUGGUUACACCAGUGCAGUCUGGAAUCCCUGUCUAGAGCAGUGAGUCAGUGGAAGUGAGUCUCAGAGCACACUGGCUGUCACUUUACUAUUAGCACAGCUGCAUGUUUCCUGUCACACUAUGUUCGCUUAGCUCUGGAGAACUCAACCUGGGGUUUCACUUCACUGGAACUCAGAGGCCCAAACCUGUUCCAGCAGGAUAAUGCCACAUACACAAAAUGAGCUCCAUGAAGAGACGGUUUGGCAAGGUUGGUAAAGGAACUUAAGUAUCCUACACGGAGGUCUGAACUGGACUCACCCUCAGUGAUGUACUGGAACACCGACUGCACCCAGUCCCUCUCACUAAACAGUGUCUGAUCUCAUUAAUGCUCUUUUAGCUGAACGGAAACUAAACUCCACAGCUAAGCUCGAACUCCUAUUGGAAAUCCUUCAUAGAAGAAUGGAGGAUAUUCUAACAGAAAGUGGGGACUAUAUCCGGAAUGCAGCUUUCAUCAUGGCAAGUGCAUAAUGGUUUGCUGUUCAGAGGUCAACAAACCUUUGGUCAUAUAGUUUACAUCUUAUUAUCAGCACAGACCGUGUUUCCUGAUCCAGUCCUCAGGGACCUAAAGACUGUCUCUGCUGCAGCUCCCAACACGGCUGAAGCAAACAAACAAGAACACUGAAAACCUGGUCCAGGUCAGGCCUAGACUUAAUACUGUGUAAAAAUGUAAUCACUGAGGAGUAUGCUGAUUUUUUUUACCCUGCAGCUGAGUGUGUUAAUCUGUGUUAACAAUAUACAAGCAUUACUUUGGCUUUAUCUAAAAAAGAUUACAAAUCUUAACUUAAAAAAUCUUACUUCUUACUUCCUGAUCAGAGUAUAUGGAUAAAUAAAGUUUAUUAAAAUUAAUAUAUACAUACAUUUUUCCUUGAAAGAUCAUGAGAUCACUUUAAAAAUAUCGUAUUUUUUUGUAUGUACCAAAUAUUGCUUAAAAGAACCUUUUAUUCAGGAAUCUUCCAUUAAAGAUUUGUAAGAAAUGUAUUUUAGCUCCAGGACAUUCAUUCAACCCAGACACCUGAAUGAAUUUGUAUUCACAUGAUCAAGUCACAUGUUCAACAGGAAGUUGCAUCAUCCAAAUUUUCCUGAAAAACAUUAGAACAUUAGAAAGCCUUUUAUAUUGAUGGCUUCUGAAAGCCAGAGAGAUGCGACGGACCUACUCAAAGCUGUGUAGCUGUUUGAAAUCCUGUGGUCAGCCAGGGGGGAAAUGACCUUCAUCCAGUACAGGUGAAGGGCACUGUGGGAGACUGGUGUUGGUCAGACAUAAGUGAACACCUGCUGUUUACUUCAGCUGAAAGCCAGCAUGUGUUGUGCGCAAAAACUAGAAUAAUGCUUUGAAUUUUGCUCAGCAGUCAGGAAGAAUAUUUUGUUGUAUUGUAUUUCCUAUACAUGUAAGAAAUUAUAUAUGAUAUUUACUAAACAUGAUGUUACUGUGAAAAUCUAAAAAUAAUGCCACUGUUGACUCGUGCUUUGGGUGACAAACUUUUUAUCCAUAUUUGACUUUUUCAGUAAAUUAAAUUUUAAUUAUUGUUGUAAUGUGGCCCUUGUUUGCAUGUAUCAACCAAUACUGUUGAUGCACAUCAAGUCUUUCUUUCUUUCUUUCUCUCUUUCUUUCUUUCUUUCUUCCUUUCUUUCUUUUUUCUACUUCUUAUAAGAAACUACAUUAUCUAUAUAUAUACUGUAAUUUCA